rnacentral:rRNA from 1 species
AACGAACGCUGGCGGCAGGCUUAACACAUGCAAGUCGAACGCGAAAUCACCCUCGGGUGGUGGAGAGUGGCAGACGGGUGAGUAACGCGUGGGAACCUACCUAGUGGUACGGAAUAACUCAGGGAAACUUGGGCUAAUACCGUAUGUGCCCGAAAGGGGAAAGAUUCAUCGCCACUAGAUGGGCCCGCGUCGGAUUAGCUUGUUGGUGAGGUAACGGCUCACCAAGGCGACGCUCCGUAGCUGGUCUGAGAGGAUGACCAGCCACACUGGGACUGAGACACGGCCCAGACUACUACGGGAGGCAGCAGUGGGGAAUAUUGGACAAUGGGCGCAAGCCUGAUCCAGCCAUGCCGCGUGAGUGAUGAAGGCCCUAGGGUUGUAAAGCUCUUUCGGCGGGGACGAUAAUGACGGUACCCGCAGAAGAAGCCCCGGCUAACUUCGUGCCAGCCGCCGCCGUAA